CCCUGGGUGUUGUUAUUUUCAUAUUUCUAGAGUCCCAUACUGUUGUUAUUAUAUUCUUAAAGUCCAUACCUUCUAGCUGGUUAUCUACCAUGCAGUUCUUCUCUGCAGCACAGCUCCUCGUGGCUUCACAGGAGCUCCUCCAGGGCUCUCAGCCCACCCCUUUUAUCCCAGUUACCUUUACGAGCCACAGCUGCUGCCCAACUAAGGACUUCGCAGCUGUGGCUCAUUUAGAAUAGCUGGGACCCACUUAUCCAAUCCAUAGGACUCUCACUACACCUGGGUACCUCAACACCUCUGCAGAGGCUGCAAACCAGCAGGUCUGUGCUCACAGACACUACAGGCUGGAAUCCUGAAGCUGCUGAACCCAGGAAUUCACCAUUGUCUCCAGGUCUUCUUCCAGCCUGCCCCUUUAUCCUCACAGCAAUCAUUGUUCCCUGCCUGUCAAAACCGAGCCCAGCAGGAUUCCCUACACCAACCUGACCUGGUUACAAUACCUCCUGGAACUGAUCCUCCAGCUGUCUGUGAAAUUUCUGUAGAAGUGCCACUUCUUUAUGCAGUACCAUUAGCAGAAGUCUAAUAAAUAAUGCACAGGAAUAACACAAUCCCCAAUAAACAAUGUACUGCUUCUUCUCCUAUUCUCUUAAGUGAGCAACAUGGAUCCUAAAUCUGAUCUCCCCCUCCAGUUGUUACCCAAUCCUCAUCUCAGCUACCAAACUCUCUCCUCCCUCCCCUAGCAAGCCUGUCAUUCCUUUCUUCCCAGCUGCCAGAGGCUUUGCUGCUGCCUCUUCCAGCCCAAACACACUGGCAGACAUGAAUGCAAGCGUCCACACAACACAAAUGCAAACAUCCAGGCACGUCUCAGGUUGCAUGCUGAAAAUGCACAUUUCCAUACACUGCAGUAGCUGAAUAUCAUAUUUGUUUGGGUAUCUGCUGGAACCCCUGAAGGAAGAGGUGAGUUGGAGGAGAUCUUCUAAUGAAAACAAAAUCACUGAACCCGAAGUCUGGGCAAGACAGUGGUAGAUAUAUGAUCAGGGCAGUCUUCAGCAGAAGCACACAUUGGGCCCAGGGGGCCUCUGAACGGCUUCUUCAGCGUUAAAAGGGAGGAAUUCAGGAGCUUUAGAUCAGAAGUACAUCCCAGACGGGCAUUAGACUCUAAUAAAUAAGGUGCUUUACACUGACAGAGUGCCAGAAAGCUUCCAACAUCCUCCCCAAGGUCUGCAUACAGGCAUCUCUACAGUCACUGGUGGUUUGGAUGGCAGAAACCAAGCAAACAAUCUCCC